rnacentral:ncRNA from 1 species
CUUAUCAAGAGUGGUGGAGGGAUCGGCCCAAUGAAACCCGGCAACCUGCAAGCAUGCAAGGUGCCAAAUCCGGCGGGAAUUCUGUUCGCUCAACGAACCGAAAGAUGAG